GUGUGUGUAAUUUAAAAAAAAUAUCAAGUUGUGACCCUGAAAAUAGACACCCCCUCGCACACC
rnacentral:tRNA from 1 species